rnacentral:rRNA from 1 species
GACAGAGGAGGCGAGCGUUAUCCGGAGUCAUUGGGCGUAAAGGGUACGUAGGCGGCUAGUCAAGUCUGAGGUUAAAGACCACAGCUUAACUGUGGAAAGGCCUUGGAAACUGACCGGCUGGAGUGGGGCAGGGGUUGCGGGAAUUCCCGGUGUAGCGGUGAAAUGCGUAGAUAUCGGGAAGAACACCUGAGGCGAAAGCGCGCAACUGGGCCCUAACUGACGCUGAGGUACGAAAGCUAGGGGAGCGAAUGGG